AGCAGAUGAUGAUUGCAAAAGGUCAAAUAUCCUUUCAGAUAUUGGUCAGACAGAGAAAGGUCGCUUCUUUGGAAUCUGAUUGUUGCACACUGACACAGGUAGAGCUCCUCCUUAUUUAAGUAUGUGUAAUUUAAUUAAUAGUGACGCGUUAGAUGAACUUCACCAAAAGAGGAAAAGAAGAACAUGAUCACCUGUUGGGUUCUGAAGAAGGAAGUGAUCUUCAGCCUUAUAUGCAAUAUGCUGAACUGUGAUAUCUGUCCUUCACAGUCAUCCUGUGAUGAGAUACUAUUCUACUUGCCUUACUCAUUAACUCCAGAGAUAAAUCUUAUGCUGAGAUGUGUAGAACCUGGAAAAAUCUUUUGGACCUUUAUCUUGUUGAAACUCGACUAAGCAUCCGAUUCAGCAGAAAUAGUAUGCCGCAUCCUUCCUCAAAUAUAUGUCUCUCUAUUAGGUGAUUGUUCUUUUGCUUGUAUUGAUGUGAAUAAUUUGUUCAAGCUGCUAGCUUUGUGAUAUCUUAAAGAAAAUCCAUGACUUAAGGUUCAUGGCUUAGUCCACUCCGAGAUAGAAAGAUACCAGAUAAAGAGAAGCAUUGAACUCUAUUGUUUGCAUCGAUUAUUUUUUGUGCUAUGGCUUUUCUGAUAAUCAGGUUAGUGCAUAAAAGCACUGUAAUAUGUUGUGGGAAUGGAGACGAUCAUACAUCUCAAAAUAAUUCUGAAGAGUUAGACAUUGUAUUAGAAACUAAUGUAUCACCACAGGUUGAUAUAUGGCUUACAGAGAAUAGUUUCAAGAUUACAGUUGGGCUGCUUUGGAUGGCUAGUACAUAGCUUUGAAUGUUGAGCAGAGCUCUACUGUCAACAUGAAUUUUAGAUUUGGAUCAGUAGGAGAAAGUGAGGAUGGAGAUGAAAUUGGAAAGGUUUCAAAUUUGCCAUUCAAUUUACCAGACAUAGAUGCUUAUCUGAUAUGAGCGGAAAUCCUUAAAGGCAAACAGACCAGCAAUUAAAUGCAUAAAUAUCUUUUUCCUGGACCCUUUUGAGAGUUUCCCUGGAGACAAAUUUCAUGUGCUAAAGUGCUAUUUGCUUUGAUAGUUGGCUGUCAAAGCAGCUAAUACUCGAAUAGGAAUUAUCCAAAUGCGUGGAGAUAGGUAAUUUUUCAAUCAUUUCUGUGUUGAUUUUCAAGUUUGUCCAUGUAGAUCUGGCAGAGCACAUGUAAUUUUGAUUUUGGCACUUUUAGAGUCAACUGUGUUAGAUUUCUGUACCAUGCAACCUUGGGUUUAUUACUUAUAUUUAACGAGAUUAAAUUGGAUCUGAAAUGGUGGACGAUGAUAUAUAUGCUGGAGUGUGAGGCUGUCCACAUGAUUGAUUAAGCUUAAUAAAGAAAACUUGGGGUAAUUUUAUCUUACCAUGAACAUUUGUUGGAGUUCUGUGCAGACUUUGGAGCUAGUCCACCAAGAAAGAGUAAGCUUAUCGGCCAAACUAGUUGAGUAAAGGUUACUGGCCUGUUUUCAACUAUCUAAUUUUGUUGUGUCCUCGAACUCAAAAAGAUGGUGUUUUUCAACUCUUCACUGAAUUCCUUGGACUUUCAGCAUUUACCAUGCCAAGGUUAGAUGUCAAAUUCCAGCAGCUACAAGUAAGAUUUCUCAAGUUUUGACCUUCAACUUUAGGAUGUCCACCAAGCUCACAGUCGUUUAUCCUGUUCUUUUAGGGAUGGCUCAACCACCACAAACCAAGCCUAGACACAAAAGUGUGUGACUUGGUACUCCUUUUUGUUUAUUCUACUGUUGGACUUGCUGUUACCUUCAGAUUUUAAAUUUGAUCUGGGAGGAUCAUCCUUUGUUGUGCCCCUACCAUAUAUGUACUUUUAAAUUCAUGUGCUCACAAACACGUACAAACAUCUUGGUUUCCAUUGCUUCAUUCAAUAUUUUCCCUCUUGUAGAUCCUCAAUAUUAAUCUUCGAAAGGCUGAAUUUUUUUAUUUUGUGGACUGAAGGCUGAAUUAAUAAAGGGAACUCUAAUAUUAAUUAUAUUAUGAUUCCCCUCUAGGAAAGAGUUUGUUAACCACCUUGAAUUCUCUUAUGUCUGGCUUGGCUAUUACCUUGCAGCCAAAUGGUUAGUAAUAAGCUUAUUAGAUCAUAGCAGUGCUUUGCUAACCCAAAUAUUGGCAGGUCAAGGAAACAUUUGAUGAAGAAAAGGUUGCUGCUGGAGGUAUGGGUAUUUAGCCUUUUCAAGUUUGAACUAUAGGCCAGUGAAUGCAUACAUGAAAUCUUCUUUAGAGUUUUUAUUUUUAUGUCGUCAUGAUCUUGUGCUUUAUAACAGCAUGACACCUAUUUCUUCAGCAUAGAUCAUCAUUUGGCCAUAGAAUUAAAACAAGAAUGGUUUCAUUUUUCUUUCCAUUGGUAUGAGUUUAGUUUGACAAAUGUAUCAUUGAGAUAAGUUCGUCAAUUCCCUUUAAUAACUGCUGAGUCUCUGUCAACCUUUCCUUAUUUUUUGCUGGAGCACUGUCAAUGUACCUAGUAAAGCAGAGGUAGUCAGUAACUCAAUCGUGUCCAUCAUGAAAGCCAUAUUACUAGUCUAGUCCUUAGUGUUGUUGGGCUGUUUGUUGCUUCAUCUGGUCAUCGCAAUCUGAUGUUUCAACUUAAGGCAGGAUGUGCACCAGGAAAACUUAUCACCUGCAUGUAAGCGCCAGCAAAUAGAUACAGUUAGGAGCCAUGCUCCCCGUACUGUGCACUGUGAGGUUAUGUGUUACAAAAACUUCCAUUGCGGUUUACUUUUGAUAGCUAAUGCUGACACCUUUGCAGCAAGAGGCAAACUUUCCAAUCACCUGCUUACUGACAACGUGGUACUUACAGACAAAAAACUGAAAACAGAAGAAUUAUGUUCAUUGAGCAGAGUAGUUACUUAAAUUUAAUGCUUGAACUGACAGAACAAUGCAGCAACCAAGGAACUGAUCUUCAGUGUGGAUUCUGCGACGGCAAAACUUGACGAGACCAAAAGAAUGAAAGCUAAGCUAGCUGCAGAGAAUUCUGCAAUGAAGCAGCGAAUUGAACAAAUGAAAAGCCAGUCAAAUGAGUUCCAGGUCCAGGACGUUGUAUUGAUUGUACUUGGUUGUAGUUAAGACUCGGCAUCUUUGUUUGCUGUGGUACGAUGCAGGAAGAGCUAAGGGCAAUGAACUUUUUUUUUUCUUUUGGUAAGAUAAGGGCAAUGGACUUUAAGACCUUAGAAAAGGAACAAAAAGCUCUUUUGGCAGAUAUUGUUGGGGAAACCAAGUUCCAGCAGUCUCUGCAGAAUCAAACGAGAAACUGAAGGUUAAAUUAUUCCAAAACUGUGAUUUUCAUUUUAAAAAAAGAGUGAAAUGGGUGGUAACAAUAUCGUAUUUGAACAAUGUGCUAUUAACUAGGGAGUGUGCCCAUAAAACAGGAUUGGUUUCACUCUACUUCCAACCUCUGUUAUCUUCCAGAAGGAAUAUCACAGCUCUUGAAGUGCGCCUGCAGACAGGAGUACAAGAUUGAGUUAGAUGGUUGUAUAUGAACAGGAGAAGAAUUAGCCAGAACAUCAGAUACUUGUAAGUUUUAACUACUAACUAGCCUAGUAAUGUGAUACUAAACUGGAAUGACAAAUCGCUGUAGAGGAAUUUGCAUCAA